rnacentral:lncRNA from 1 species
GAGGGACUGCCGUAUCACUCUGGUGUGUGGUGCUGCUGAAACCUGCAUAAACUGGUUCCUGGGUGGCAUUUCAGCCAUUUUGGACUAUACAGCAAUGAAAUGUUAACCCUUUUUGCUAACUUUAAAUGUUUAUAGUGUCUGCACCAUUUUAGUCUUAUUAUUCCACACCCUUAUUAGUUCUUUUUUCCUUCCCCCUCCCCCACCUUGUCUUAUAGCUGUGCUUGUAUUUAUGAUGUAAUAUGAUCUUGAAGCCCGCCCUGGUCCUCCUGCCUCAGCCUCCCAGGUGCUAGAGUUUGGGGCGUGCACCACUGUAGCUGGUUCUGCUUGCUGACUGUGUGGUUUGAGGGUCUGCUACAGUUACCUUGAGGCAGGAUGGGAGGAGUAAUGUCUGGCUUGUGGACCCUGCUAAUGGAGUUGAAAAUUUUCAGACAGCACUGAUAAAACCAAAAUUGCCUGUGGAGGCAAGGUGUAUAUCCCAAAGACACUCGGGUCAGUAAGCAGGCUUGCCUUAAUUUAGAGACAGGGUAAUGUAGCCCAUUGAGUCCCUAGGACAACCUGUUCCCCUAAGCCUUAAUAGCACCCUCGUAAACCUUUGUUAAGGCUCCCAGCUUUUCUCUUCUAUCAGAUUAAUUUAUAGACAGGAGUAUAAUCCAAGAGACAGGGCAGAGGGCACUUCAUAAAUUUGCAUGUCAAUCUACUGCUAAUCUGUUUAUUGAAUGUGCUGCUACAGAGAGGGACAUUUCUUAGCAAUUUAGAGAUGUAACUUGAGAGCCACACUCAUCCUGUCCCGUGUACACUCAGGUCUCUCCCCUCUUGUGUCUCUUCUUCCUUUACCUUUCUGCUUUUAAAUAAAUUCAACUUUGAUUCAUACUUGGCUUUCCCUGAAAGUAAUUUGUCAAAGCCACUGUCCUAGUUUGUUUUCUGCUGUUGUGAUGUACACUGUGACCAAAAGCAACAUGGGGAGGAAAGAGAUGACUUCAUUUUACAGCUUACAGUCUCCAUCAUGCAAGGAAGUCACAGGAACUGAAGCAGGGACUACGGAAGAGCUGCUUACUGGUUCAGUGUUGCUCAGUUUUGUUUUCUUGUACAACCGAGCACCACCUGCCCAGGGUUGGCACUGCCCACAGUGGACUGAACCAUUCCACAUCAAUUAUUAAUCAAGAAAAUGUCUCACAGACCUGCCUAUAAGCCAAUCUGAUGGGGACAUUUUUUUAACUUAGAAAAAUAAUAAUAAUAAAAUAACUAUCCAGGAC